rnacentral:rRNA from 1 species
AGCGAACGCUGGCGGCAGGCUUAACACAUGCAAGUCGAACGCCCCGCAAGGGGAGUGGCAGACGGGUGAGUAACACGUGGGAACGUACCCUUUGGUUCGGAAUAACUUGGGGAAACUCAAGCUAAUACCGGAUAAGCCCUUACGGGGAAAGGUUUACUGCCGAAGGAUCGGCCCGCGUCUGAUUAGCUAGUUGGUGAGGUAACGGCUCACCAAGGCGACGAUCAGUAGCUGGUCUGAGAGGAUGAUCAGCCACACUGGGACUGAGACACGGCCCAGACUCCUACGGGAGGCAGCAGUGGGGAAUAUUGGACAAUGGGGGCAACCCUGAUCCAGCCAUGCCGCGUGAGUGAUGAAGGCCCUAGGGUUGUAAAGCUCUUUUACCCGGGACGAUAAUGACUGUACCGGGAGAAUAAGCCCCGGCUAACUUCGUGCCAGCCGCCGCAGUAA